rnacentral:rRNA from 1 species
GACGAACGCUGGCGGCGUGCUUAACACAUGCAAGUCGAACGGAAAGGCCCUGCUUUUGUGGGGUGCUCGAGUGGCGAACGGGUGAGUAACACGUGAGUAACCUGCCCUUGACUUUGGGAUAACUUCAGGAAACUGGGGCUAAUACCGGAUAGGAGCUCCUGCUGCAUGGUGGGGGUUGGAAAGUUUCGGCGGUUGGGGAUGGACUCGCGGCUUAUCAGCUUGUUGGUGGGGUAGUGGCUUACCAAGGCUUUGACGGGUAGCCGGCCUGAGAGGGUGACCGGCCAGAUUGGGACUGAGAUACGGCCCAGACUCCUACGGGAGGCAGCAGUGGGGAAUAUUGCACAAUGGGCGGAAGCCUGAUGCAGCAACGCCGCGUGCGGGAUGACGGCCUUCGGGUUGUAAACCGCUUUCGCCUGUGACGAAGCGCGAGUGACGGUAAUGGGUAAAGAAGCACCGGCUAACUACGUG